GACGAACGCUGGCGGCGUGCUUAACACAUGCAAGUCGUACGGUAAGGCCCUUUCGGGGGUACACGAGUGGCGAACGGGUGAGUAACACGUGAGUAACCUGCCCACAACUUUGGGAUAACGCUAGGAAACUGGUGCUAAUACUGGAUAUGUGCUCCUGCUGCAUGGUGGGGGUUGGAAAGCUCCGGCGGUUGUGGAUGGACUCGCGGCCUAUCAGCUUGUUGGUGGGGUAGUGGCCUACCAAGGCGGCGACGGGUAGCCGGCCGGAGAGGGUGACCGGCCACAUUGGAACUGAGAUACGGCCCAGACGCCUACGGGAGGCAGCAGUGGGGAAUAUUGCACAAUGGGCGCAAGCCUGAUGCAGCAACGCCGCGUGCGGGAUGACGGCCUUCGGGUUGUAAACCGCUUUCAGCAGGGACGAAGCUUUUUGUGACGGUACCUGCAGAAGAAGCACCGGCUAACUACGUG
rnacentral:rRNA from 1 species